UACGGAGGGUGCGAGCGUUGUCCGGAAUCACUGGGCGUAAAGGGCGCGUAGGCGGUCUGCUAAGCGUGCGGUGAAAGCCUGGGGCUCAACCCCAGGUCUGCCGUGCGAACUGGUGGACUGGAGCACUGUAGAGGCAGGUGGAAUUCCGGGUGUAGCGGUGAAAUGCGUAGAUAUCUGGAGGAAUACCGGUGGCGAAGGCGGCAUCCUGGACCGAGAUUGACACUGAUGAGCGAAAGCGUGGGGAGCGAACAGG
rnacentral:rRNA from 1 species